rnacentral:lncRNA from 1 species
CAGCAACAGGCCAGAUGAAGCCUCUCCAGACAAGCCUGUUAGCCAAUGGAACAUCAAUGAUGAUCUCCUUCAUUGUUGGCUUCUUCUCAUCUCUUAUUGCAAUCAAGUAGCUCCUUCCUACCCACCCAAUCCAUCCAGCAAUGUACAAGAAGAGGAUCCCAGGAGUGAUGAACUCACCCCAAUGCCUCUGGUCUCCACUCACUAUCAGGUGUGGCAGUCCAUCCGAUCCACACAAUAGUCCCUGUUUCGCGUAGUUGUCAAAUCUGCAAUGACAAUAGUUGAGUGAAUUUGUGUAAGUGAAAUAAAACUAGUUAUGUGACUUCUCCGUUACAAAAUAAAGUUGAGUGACUUUAUCAAGAUAAUUUCCGUUAGUUGAGUAAUUUCAAAGGAGUUUUGUCCUUCACUGGUGAGGGACAGCGAGACAGUUGUGCUUAUAUACAGAAGCACUUCUUCUAGCUCUUAAAGAAUUGAGAAGAGAGUCUUCCCGGCGCCAUCGUUGUCCCUCAGCUGGCUUGGGCUUGAAUUUGAAUUUAUGAUGUGAUUGACUGAUAUAUUUUUGGAUCAAAUUUAUUUAGUUAAUAUUUAUAUUUCAGUAACAUUUUUGUAAUUAAUUCCCAUGUUAUUGUUUUGUCGUAGCCAUAUUUUUCGUAAACAACCAUUUUCGCAAAGAACCACCAGGAAGAGUUGCAUCUCUUCGUUUGAGACUAGACUUCUGCUUAUAUAUAUCUGUCCUUUAAUUCAGAUUUUUACUUACGAUUUUUUUUUUAAAUAUUUCUCGCAUAUUACUUUCUGCUCUGCGAAGUAAAUUUGAAGUGUGAUUCAACUGUUCUUAAUGUUCGUUGAACACCGGUGUUUGAAGUAUCUUUGCACAAGUGACAGUAAUCUGCCCUAUCUUGGGAGGAAAUAAUCUUAUACCUCAGGUAUUAGGAACACUAUGAAUUUCAGGAGGCUCGAAUUAGUUUCAGCUUUCAUCUCAUGUAUAUUUUGUCAAGUCUUAGUUUCCAGGAUUUAUUUGGUUACUAACAGUAUUUGUGUUACUAAACAAAAUUCGAAUGAUCAUAUGCGAAAUUAACUCUAUGAUAAGGAAUUACAUAGAUGGAUUAAAUAAAAAAUGAUUACUAGGGGAAAAUGGAAGGUGAGACAAACCUGCGCUUAGUUUUCUCAAUAGUAGCAUUAAUAGCAAGUGCAGGAGCACUAUCAGGUGCAUAUAGCUUCAAAGAAUUCUCAAGCUUCUUGAUCUGUUGCUUCUCCCUCUUAGCAAACUGCUUUGACUCCUUGCAAGGUGUGAGUCCAGAGAUGUCAGCAGAAGCUGGAAGCACUGGUGCUGACAACAGAAUUGAAGACAAAGCAAGUGCUGCUGAGAAUACCUUUAAUGAGGAAGAUGUUUCAUCUGUUUUAGUAGAAGCAGGAGUUUGGUUUGAAGAGCAGACUAUUGUUGAAGUUCUUGGUUUUGUGGUAAACUGAGAACUAAACUUAGAUGAUGUUGAAAUGGGUUUUGAAAGGUUUGCAGGAAUUGUGAGAGACAUGGUGUUUUCUCCUCUCUCUUUUUAUGGUAUUAUUUUCAAGAAAAAAAGAGAGGAAGGAGGAGUGGAUUGGAGUGUGGAGAGUGAAAGGAUGUUUUUUUAGGAUAUUUGGAAGAAAGGAUUGGUAUUGAAGAGAGAGGAUAAAGGAGUUGAAGGGGAGCUUAGGUGGAGGGAUUUGAUUGGCUAAUUGAGUUGGAUUUUGUGAGAUUGGUGGAUUUUGCUGAAACUUUAUCUAUCUGUGAAAGAGCAAGAACCAGGGAUGUAACAGAUACAGAUACGCCUCCUUCGGAGCCAUAUUAUCCCUUGGAAUAGCUAGUAAGUUGCUGCCCACGUAAUCAGGAGGUCAUAAGUUCAAGUUUUGAAAACAGUUUCUAAUAAAAAUACAAGGUACGACUGCAUACGAUACACCCUUGUGGUGGGGCCCUUCCCUGGAUACCGCGCAUAGUGGUAAUUUUAGUACACUGGACUGUCCUUUAUUGGCAAAAUGGCUAAAUGGAUCCUUGUACUAUGUUCGUUUUGUAAUGUGAACACUUCUACUUACAUGUUUGUCAUCUGAAUCGUUGAAUUAAUUAAAAAGUAAUAUUUUAAGCCCUUUAUCGGUCUACUCCUUUGAACGUGUUGCACAAUCACGAACAUGUCAUCAAAUAUUUGAAAAUAAUUUUCACAUAUGAAAUAACGUGUCCAAGGUAUAAAUAGAAAAGUAAGUCCGAAAAAUUAAGUCAUUUUAGACCCUUCUUCUUCGUCUCUUUCAUCCAAAGUUUAAAAUUUCCCCUAUUUUAACUUAAUUUAGGUAGAUUGUUGUUGGUGGUUGUUGCAAUCCGUGUAAGUAUUUAAUAUUUUGUGGUAACUGUAGUAUUUCGUAGUUUAUUUCAGGCUCUUUUGUCGAUGUAAUGAAGUCCGUUUUAGUAAUUUUAGGAUUUUCGCCAUUAUGAACUUUUUUUUCAAUUUUUUGGGUGGUUUUGCUCUAUUUUAUAUCUAGUGUUGUUGUAGGUAGUAUGUGUAGUGGUGAUAUGCCUUCAAUGACAUAUUUUGAAAUUUUGAUCAAAAUUUAGAGUUUUUUCGUAAAAUGGUAAUUGGGUUCGAAAAUUUUUGAGCUUUUAAUUUUUUUUUUGUUGUCUAAUGCUCCUAUUAUACCUAUAUAUUACAGUUUUGUGCCUUCAAUGGUGUAUUUUAUUAUUUCGAUUACAUUUUAAAUUUUUUUUGGUAAAUUUAAAAUUAGGUUCGAAAAUUUUGGGGCUUGUGAAUUUUUUGUUGUUUAAUGCUCCAAUUAGAUGUGUGUAUAACAGUUUUGUACCUUCAAUAGCAUGUUUUGUUAUUUCGAUUACAUUUUAAAGUUUUUUUUUUUUGAUAAAAUCAGAAUUGGGUUUCUUAUUCCUUUAUUUUUUCUUUAAAAAUUAGGUCUUUAUGGAUAAUUAACUAAUUAUAUAUAUUAUCUUGUCAUUGUACAGAUUUUCUAAGUAAAUGGACACAAUUGUAACAAUUCAAUUCACCUAUAGGGGGGUCUUUUUGUCAGACCCUGAUCUAAGGUAUGCAAAUGAAGUUUGUAUUCUUGAAAAAAUUAGAGUAGAUGUAGAUGAGCUUCAUAUUAUGUUAUUUCAUAACUUAGCAAUAGAUUUAGAUAUGGAAAAAAAUAAAACUUUUUGAUGUAGAGUAAAUAAAAAGGGUUAUUAUUAUAUGUUAGAUAGUGAUGCUGAUGUUUUAAGAUUUAUCAAUAGUUUAAAAGUUGGAGAUUUUGUUAAUAUAUAUGUUGUUCACCAUAUUAGUGAACUUAUAGUUGUUAAUGAAGAUGUGACAGCUACUCCAUCAUUAUUACUACUUAGCAAUAGUAAUGUGGCAGCCCCUUUUAAAACUGAUAAGGUUGUGUGUCUUCAUCUCAUCCGUUGAAUAUAAAUGAAGAUGAGUAUAUAAAUGAAAAUCAGCCUCCUAAGGCAGACAAAGGAAAAGCUAAGGUUUCUUUAGAAGACUUAGGGGAAAGUCAAGUUAAUGAUUUCUCCACAUACCACCUUCAAACAUCUGAUUCUGAAUUAAAUUUUCAGACCACUGAUUCUGAUGUUGAUUCACUUUAUGAUAUUAAUGAAAAUAUUGAAGAGGAGUGAUUUUGACAAAGAGUUGCUUUAAGUUAGGAAGUCUAACAUUGAAAAACAAGCAAAAGAAAAGGCUGAUAGGGUAAAUCUAGAUGAGAUACCAUCUGAACUAGUAGGUAUAAAUGCUGGUUUUGAGGAAAUUUGUAAGAACAAGGGGGUUAGAUAUGAAAGUAAACUGGGUAGGGAUGACCCUUAUUUUGGUAGUUUAAAUUCGAAUAGUAACAUUAGUGAAGAGGAAGGAGAUCAUGUUGAUGAUGAUGAACUGGUAGAUCCACUACCUAGAACUUCAUCUAGCAAGAUCUACUUUGAUGAAACUGCAAAGAAGAUAUAUUUUUAGUUGUACAUGAUUUUUUGAAUGCUGUUGAAUUUAGAGAGGUACUGCAGACUUUAUUCAAAAAAAUGUGAACCUUAAAUUAAAACCUAAUAAAAAGAAAAGAGUAAAGGCAAAGUGUAAGCAUAAGGAUUGUUCUUGGGUUAUUCUUGAAAGUGUUGAUAACACAAAAAAUUUUAGUGUGAAAACAUACUUUCUUAUCCACAAAUGUUCUAAAAAGACAAAAAAUGAGAUGUGAGUGAUUCAUCAAUAAAAUUGCAUCAGAUUCAAACACUUUUAAGAAAGGACUAUGGAUUGUAUGUUAGUAAAACAACCCGUAGAAAAUCAAAAAUUAAAAUUAUGAAUGAAUAUUUUGAUGAUUUUGUUGAAGAGUUUGCUAGGUUGUAUGACUAUGCUGAAUAGUUAGGAUCACCAAUCCUGAUACCACUGUAUCUACUAGAACAUCCAAGAAUUCAAUUCCAAGGUGGUUAUAGGCAUUUAUAUUUGUCUUGGGGCCUUAAAAAGUGGAUGAAAAGAGGGUUCUAGAAGAAUAAUUGAUUUAGAUGGUGCCUUUCUCGAGGGUGUAUAUAAAGGUAUCUUGUUGUCUUGUAUUUUCAAAGAUAAAAAUAAUCACAUGCAUCCUGUAGCAUGGGCAGUGGUUGAUAAAGAAACCAAGGACAUAUGGUCUUGAUUUCUUAGGUACAUCAACCAUAAUUUGAAACUUCGAGAAAAUGGGGGUAAAGGCUUGACAUUAAUAUCUGAUAUGCAGAAGGUAUGAAGUGUCAUAUUUUUUUUAGUUAUUUUUUCAAUUUGCUUAGUGAUGUCAUGAAUGUUUAACUACUGUUUUACAUGUUUUGAUAGGGUCUUCAUUUGGCACUUACUAAGCUACUGUCAAAUGCUGAGCAUAGAUGUGCUAGACAUAUAUGGGCAGACUGAAAGCAGGUUUGGAGAGGUGAAAAAAGAAGGAAAAAAUUCUAGCAGGUUGCAAGGGCUCGAUUUAAAGUGUAUUUACAACAAAAAACUUAAUAAAAUGAGUGAGUUAGAUGUUGAAAUUGUGAAAUACUUGCUCAAAUACAACAAAGAGGCAUGGUGUAGGAUUUUUUUUUAAAGAAUAUAGCAGGUGUGAUGUGGUUGAGAACAACAUGUAUGAAACUUUCAAUAGUUAAAUUUUAGCUGCUAGGUUCAAAACAAUUAUCACUAUGUUGGAGAAAAUAAAAUGCAAAGUCAUGGAAAGAAUGAAUCAAAUGAGAAAUUUUUAGAAAAAUGAAUCAGUGAUGUAUCACCAAUGGAUAUGAAAGUUCUUGUAGAGAAUAAUAUGCAAUCAAGUGUGAGGUAAGGUUUAAUGGUGAUAUAGGCUUUGAGAUUGGUGAUCCACCAUAAACACAUGUUGUUAAUGUGAAGAGGAAGGAAUGUAGUUGUAGGUCAUGGCAACUAAAGAAAAUUCCUUGUGCACAUGCAAUUGUUUCAAUGCAUUACAAGGGAUAGAAUGUGGAGUCAUUUGAUAAGCACUGGUAUCAAUGAAAAACAUACUUGAAGGCAUAUGAUAAGUAUAUUCAACCAAUGACAAAUAUAAAGAUGUAGCUAAGAAGCACAAGACCACUAAUUGAGUCACCUGAGAUUACUGCCAUGCCACGAAGGUCAAGUAAAAAUAGAAAGAAAGCUAAGGAUGAGUCUAUUAAGAAAAAGUUUAGGAAGGCUACAAAAAAAGAAAGAAAAAUGACAUGUUUUGUGUGCAAGUCUAUUGGAGACAACAAGAAAGGAUGUCCAAUUUUGGUAACCUAAAACUUUUCUUAUUGAUGAAUUUUACUCUUUUUGAAUGUGUUUUUGAUCUUUAAAUAUUUUUUUGUAGAAAAAAGAUUUCAGUAGUAGCUGUGGCAGUCAACCAAGUGUGCAAGCUGGUGCUAGUACUGUUGCUGCUGAGAGACCUGCAAAUGCUUCAGCAGCUGAAGACAUGCCUGCAAAUGCUAAACCAAGAAACAGAAGGCCUGCAGGAAGGCCAACAAAUGCUCACCGUGUACCAAGAGCUGCAGAAAGGCCUGCAAAUGUUGCAUCAGUUGGUGGUGUGAGGCCUGCAAGUGCCUUAACAACUGAUAUAAGGCCUGCAACUGUUGUGAUUCCUGCAACCACUUCACCAGUAGAUGAUAAUACUACACAAUCUACAACUCAGUAGUCUACUAGUGGUGUUGGUGUCCAAAAGAGGAGGACUAGUACAACUUUGAGAGGUGGUGCAAAUCUUGCAUAUAAAAGAUCAAGGCAAAACAAAAUUAAUUUUGUUGUGCUGUUUGGACUAAGUGGCAACGUAGUGGAGAGGGUAAAUUUUCUAUCAUGUAAUUUUCAUUUAACUGGUAUUAAUUAGUGUAUCUAUAACUGAUUUUUUUUAUUUUUACAGUUUGAAAAUACUGAUAGAGUGUUACAUAAUCCAACACUUAUUAGUUCAGUUCCAAUCAAUAUUGACUUGGGUUUCAAACCAAAUAGACUGAGGCGGAAAGGUGGAGCUGCAGUAACUCAAAGACAACUACAAGAACAGAGUUACAACAGAUAAAACACAAAAUCAUCUACAACCACUCAAGCCACAUCAAGCACUCAAGCCAGCAAGAAUCAGGCCACAACAAGCACUCAAGGAACACAUUAGUGUAAUUCUCUUUUUGUAUUGAUCCCAAGUGUUGUUAAGAUAAUUUUUUAAGACUUCUGAUGCAUUUCUCAUUAAAGAUGUUGUUAAGACAAGUUUUUUCAUUUCAACUCUUGCUAACACAUUAUAUAUUGAAGAUUUCUAAGUUGGCAAAAUGGUGUUUGUCAUUAAAUUUGAAUUUCAUUUUCAUUGUACAUUGCAACUACAAAAAUUAAGUCAUCUUAAAUAUAAUAGAUAGAAAUCAGAUGACAACAAUAAUAAUAGUGAUAUCAAUGCUAGUGCUUGAUCUUUCAUGUCUUUCAUACCUUUCAUAUCUUUCCAGUCCUUCUUGUCUUCGUUGCCUUCUAUGUCUGCCUUUAUAUUAUUUAUUUUCAUCAGCACAUCAAAAGAAUCCACAAUCAUUAGCAACUUCAUAUUUUUGACAGCUCCAAAAUAUUUUUUCGGGGUUGAUUGGUAUUCUUGAAUCUUAAUUUCAGCGUAAAGCCCACAAUAACAUACCCGAACUGUCAUGGUGUUGUGAAAAAUUACAUAAGAUAUUAACAUUCCAAUAUUACAAACAGAACAGGAAAAAAAAUUAAGAAACAAGAACUUAGAGAGAGAAAAAUGGAGAAGAAGGGAGAAAAAAAAGCUCAAAUUGCUUCAAUAAUGAUGUUGGAAGCAUAUGAGGAAGAAGUAGCAUUUAUAAGGACUUUAUGACUGUUGGGGGACUUUUUUCGAUGGCUUACGUGCGCUUGAAGGCUAAACUAUUUGCUCCUAUGUGAUUCCAGCCACAUUGGAUGCCACAUCAAAAAAAAGUAUUUAAAAUGUUCAUUUUUAGUGGGUUCAAGGAUUCAGAUGAUAAACAUGUAAGUAGAAGUGUCUACAUUACAAAACAGACAUAGUACAAGGGUCCAUUGAAUUAUUUUGCCUUUUAUAUUUCAAUCUUUCUUUCUCACUUAUAUUUUUAGCUCUUAUCUUAAGGGGUGUUUAGCCAUAAAAGUUUUAAUAUUUUUAGAAAGAUCAUGUAAGAGUAAAAAAUAAUAUUUAAAAAUUAAAAUUGUGUUUUGAUCAUAAAUAUAAAUUGGAGGCGUUUUUGAAUUACUUUUCAAAUUUCAAUUUUUUGAAAAGUAUUAUCACAAGAUCAUAUACAAAAAAAUUGAUUUUCACUAAGAGAGUUAAAAAAAUUGUAUUGCUUGAGAUUUGAAUUUAGAAUUUAAAGUGAAUUUUGAAUUUUCUAAACUAUUGAUCCUACUCUAAUUUAUUGUUUAGGGUAUUGAAAAAAAAAAACUAUAUAGCUAGACAUUAAUUCUGCUAAUAUAUGCAGUAACGAGAUGAGCCUCGCCAUAGUACCAAAUUUAUAUGAAUUUAUUUAUGAUUAAUUAGGAGUUGUUAGAUUAAAAAAGUGAACAAAAAUGAAAGAGUUGAAAAAAAAAAGAGAAAUAUGAAAAAAAGAGUGGCUAGCCAAGAUUUUGUAGUUAUAUAGUUUUCUUUAAACAGUCUAUAGCAUCAAUGAUUUAGGAAAUUUAAAAUUCACUUUAAAGUUCUAUAUUUAAUCUCAAGUAUUUUUUUUUUUUUGAUUAUGAGUAGCAUCAAUGAUUUAGGAAAUUUAAAAUUCACUUUAAAGUUCUAUAUUUAAUCUCAAGUAUAUUUUUUUUUUGAACUCUUUUAGGAGUCGUUUGGUACACUGAAUGUGAUAAAUAAGAAUAUCUAAGGUGGGAUAUUUCAUAAGAUUAUUUUAUUCAUCUCUCUCCGUGGGACAGUAAUCUCAUUAUCUUAAUAUAAAUGGUGGAAUAAAAUAAUUUUGAAAUUAAGUAAUACCUUAUAUCAAAUAUGGGAUAAAGUUAAUUCUAAAUUUUAUCCCAAAAUUAUUUUUUAUCCCUUCUACCAAACGAUUCCUUAGUGAAAAUCCACAAUCUUUUCAUAUCUGGGUUUGUGAAAAUAUUUCAGAUAAAUUAAAAUUUAAAAAAUAGCAAAAAUUAUUUCUAAUCUAAGUUAUUCCUAAAAACUCAAAAACACUUGCAAUUCGUAUUUAUGAUCAGACAUAACUUUAAUUUUUAAAUAAUAUUUUUUACUUUUAAAUAAUUUUUAAAAAAUAUUUACACUUUUCAUGACUAAACACUCCUUAAAAUAAAAACUAAAAUUUGAGUGGGGAAGAUAGAAAUAUAAAAUAAGGAGGCAAUAUUCAAAAAAAAAAAAAACAGGAAACAGAAGGAAAUGUGAGGAAAUAUUGGGAGAGGAACAUUUGCUAAUACAAUGGACCCCACAAGAACAUAUGUCAAAAGCAAAAAGACCCUUACAUAACUAUUGUUGGGUGAGCCUCACCCAUUUUAUAAUUUUCCAUCACCGAAACUACAGAUCAUAUGCUACUGUCAUUUGCACUUUUUCCCUUGAAAUAAAUAAUAUUUUAUAAGUUUAUAAUCAUUUUAUAAUAAUAUUUCAUGAGUUAUGGUCCUCUCCUAUAAGGUAGUUGUCCCAGUAGAUAUAAUUUCAAUUGCGAAAACUCAAAAUUCGAUGGGCGAAUUGCAAUUAAAUGACCUAAUUUGUCAUGUCAUUUGAGGACAAAAUGUUUGCAUGGAUUGUUCUUGUUUUAAAGUGGUUUUCAAUUUUUGCAAUCAAAAUAAUAUAGUUGAAUUUGUUUAAGUGUUUUAAGGGCACGCGAGUUAGAUUGAUUAUAAAAAUGAAAUAACAAUGAAAUGAAUCACAGCAACAAGAUGUAAUGAAUACAAAGCAAGAAAAUAAUUAAAUUAGAUCCUAAAAUUGGGCCUAGGUGGCUUUGGUAUUCUCUGUCCGAAAGCUGAUGAAUUGAGAAACUGAGAGCCUUUUCUUAAGAAGAGAAAGUAUGUAUGAACAAGUGUGUCUUGUAAAAACUUUCAGAGCCUCGAAUGUUUGAUUCCUAAGUGUGUCACUGUCUUCCAGUUGAGCAGUAGCACUUUGGUUGUCGGGUUGGAAAGAUUAUCUUAUCAUCAUUACUAGUUACUGUUUCUGUAUCAAGAUUCUACCUUUCUGAAGUUAGACAGGCCAUGUUAGUAAGGCCGGUACCAAUGUCGAGUAUUAUAGGAUCCCUCCAAAAUUGGACAUCACUCCGAGCUCGGUCUUUUGGAAGGGUUCUUCUGGUGCUCCCCAAUAGUCCCUUCAUAGUCAGACGCAUGUAUCACAUCUUUCAUGUCUUUUUUUUUUGCAACAAAUGUGAAUAUUAACAUCAACAAAACAGUCAUAUAAAAAUAAUUUUUUUUUAAUUUGAGUCUCAUAUGUCAUGUAAUAGUUGUAUGAGGUCUUUAAUAUUUGACGAAAUACAUAUACAGGCCCUUGAAAUAUUUCACUUUUCCCGUUUAGACACCUAAAUUAAGAAAGGUACCUAUUGAACCCUUUACUCCUUCAGAAAUGGUUUCAAUUGAGCCCAAUUCUCCGAUGUGGCAGUUUGCGUGUACUCACAUCUGGGAGGCGCGUGAAAUGUCAUGGAACCAGCUUAUGUGGCACCCAACGGAUCUUUUAUCCUCUUUUUAUACCCAAUUUCUUAAAAAAAAAAAACCCUAAUUCCCACUUUCUUCCUCUUUUUAUACUCAAUUCUUAAUAUCCACCAUUUUUGUCUCCUAAAUUCUCCUUCUCCUCUUAAAUUUCUUUUCAGCCUUUUCUCUUGCUUCGCUUAAACUCUCCUACUCUUAUUAAUUUCUUCUUCUUACUCGUUUUUAGUAGUAAUAUCCAAUUCAUCUUUUUCAUUGUCUUCAUCUUCUUUAAUUCCAAAAGGAGUAUGUUUAUGUGGGGUGAAAGCUGAAAUUAAGACCUCGUGGACACAACUCAACACUAGUGGGAGAUUCUUUUACUGCAAAACUUCAAAGGUAUUCAUCUUUUGCUGCUUCAUUGGACGAAAUGCAAUUACUUCGAUUAGUGGAUGCAAUUUUUUAAUUUAAUUUUUUCUUUAAACCUGUAGGCGAGAGGUGGAUGCAAUUACUUUGAUUGGUAUGAUGAUGAAAUGCCCCCUCAAGCAAAGAGGGUGAUGUGGGGUUUAUUAAAAAAAUUCAAAUCAUUUGAAGAAGAGAGGAAUCGAUCAAGAAAAUUUAAAGUGAUAUGCGUUGGGGCGAUUGUGAUUUUGGCUACAUGGAAUUUCUUCAAGAAAUGUUCUUAGAUUUUGACAAAUAUUGGCUUAGGUUUCUUAUAUAUAGGACUGUUUUGAUUUGGAUAAUUCUGAAAUAUAUUAGUUGUAUUGGGACUGUUUUGCUUUGGCUUUCUUGUUGUAGUGGGAUUGUUGUGUAUGAAACAAUUAAGAAGGAAUGAAGAUAAGUUGUGAAAUGUUACUCUCUUACUAUGUUUUGAUUUUUCUUUACUUUUGUAAUUGGUUUAGUUAGAUUAUUGUACUCUAUUUUUUUAGAGUUCAAAUAAUUCAUUUAAAUGAUUCAAAGCUGUCAAAUGUUUAACACAAAAGGAACUACCAUUCAAUAAUUAUAUAAAGCACAAGUGCAACUGAUCGACAUUUUAAACACAAUAAUCUACCAUUCAACUGCUCAAAAUGAGCUCCAACCAUACAUCAAGUGUUCAUCCAAAACUAAUCUAAACAAACCACAAAAAAUAGUUCAGAAUCUUUAAAAAUCCCAACAAAAUACCAAAGUAGCCAUACAACUAAUAACCAAACUAUACAUUGUGCUAAAAACACAAUUAAUUCAACAACUUCAGAUUCCUCCUGGUGCACUAGAACUUUCAAGUUGGCUUCUUUUUUUACUGACUCAUACUCUGCAAUUGAGAAGUUGUGACGACAUUCUUUUCCUUCCACUUCAUUCCUCGAGGCUUAUAACCAAUAUCAAUAUUUGUUUGAGUUACAUCUUUGUAAACACCCAGAGUGACAACUGUUUCACUUCUAGUUCCAGGUUGUAUAAAAUGAAGUAAAAUUAGAUUUGUCAAAAGAUAAUUAAAAAUUACAUGAAUUGAAGUUGUAAUUCACACUUACAUUUAAUGUUUUACUGCAACUCAUUUGAUCAGUGUAGAUACCAAAUCCUACUGUCUUAGACCUCUUUUGUCCUACUGAUGAUGUUGAUGCUCCAAUGGUCAUUUUUUCCUUAAGUUGCUGAUCAGAUACACUUUCUUUUCCUCUACUUCUGCCAGUGCCUCUUCCAGAUCCUUUGCCUUUGCCAGCUCUCCUACCUUUGUCAGUAUCUCUACCUCUACCUCUACCUCUACCUCUUCCAGCUGGCUGCACUCUUAUAACUGCUGAGGUAUCAACACACAUAGAACUGCUGAAGCUUGGUUGCUGGCUGAAGCUUGGUGGCCUGCUAGAGCUUGGUGGCCUGCUAGAUCUUGGUGGCUAGAUGAAGCUUGGUGGUUAGCUAAAGAUUGGUGGCCUGCUAAAGCUUGGUGUCUUGCUAGAGCUUGGUGGCUGUCUGAAGCUUGGUGGCUGCUAGAGCUUGGUGGCAUGCUAGAGCUUGGUGGUUGGGUAGAGCUUGGUGGCCUGCUAGAGCUUGGUGUCCUACUAGAUCUUGGUGGUUGACUGAAGCUUGGUGGCCUGCUAGAGCUUAGUGGCUGGCUAAAGCUUGGUGGCCUGCUAGAACUUGCUGCGUGGCUAGAGCUUCCAGGUUGUCCCAUUCCAUCUUAACAAUAAAGGAUAUUAAAUAUAUAUUAUAAAUAUCAGAAUUUAAUUAUUGAAUUAAAAGAUAUGAGUGCAUUACCUGAGCUUUACAGAGAGUUCUGCUAUGACCAAUUUGAUGACAUUUGGAGCAAGAAAUUUUCAGUCCUUUCCAGGAUAGCUUCCCAUAUUUCUUCUUAGGCUCAUUCUUCCUUUUUUUCUAUUCUUUCCUGGUCUGCUAGGCAUUCGUCUAGGCUCAUGAGGAUCAAUCACUACACCACUUGUGUUAGGCUACAUUUCCAUAUUAGAUAUUGGCUGAAGAAAGUAGUCAUAAGCCUUCAAGAAUGUAUCUUUCUUAUACCACUCUUCCACAUAAAAUUCAGGCUCUAUACCUUUAUGCUGAUAAGCCAAUACAGCAUGUUGACAUAGUAUGCCUCUCAAUUUCCAGCUUCUGCAAGUGCAAGUCCUUGUCCUAAUAUUAACUAUAUGCCUAUAAGGACCAUCUAAAAUUCCAUACCCAAUCUGUCCAUUGAACCUCACUGUGCAAUUUCUAGCCAUAUCUUUAUUUUCUUCAAGUACUAGCAAAGCCAUAAGAGAGAUGUCUGAAAUGCAGGUAUUAACAAACUUCCUCAUUUCAACAUUUCUAUCCAUUAUCUUAUGUCUAAUCUCCUCUAACAUACAGAUUAUAGAUUUAUGUCUAACAGCUAAAAUUCAUGAAUUAAAAGUCUCACACAUAUUAUUCUCAACAAUGUCACAUUUAGAAUACUCCCUAAAAUAUGCCCUGCACCAUGAUUUUUUUCAUAAUGUAAUAAGUCCUCACAAAUAUCCUUACCAAGUUGACUGAGUUUGCCCAUCUCAUCCAAAAACUUCACUUCAAAACUGGAUUUAGCACACCUCUAAAAUUAUUUUCUUCUUUCUUCUCCUCUCCAGAUCUGAUGUCAAUUGGACCAGAUGUAUCUUGCACACCACCUCAUUUCACAAUCUGGUAACAACUCAAGUAUAGUAGGUACAAGACCUUACAUCAGUAUAAAUACAAAAUAAAAACACAAAAUAUAUGAACAUGGAAUGUAUAGUAAAUAAAUAGAAGACAUCAAAAUUAAAUUUUAAAAAGUAGACUAACCUUUUGCAUAUCUGACAUGACAGACAGAUCAUGUUCAAUGCCUAAGUUCAAAUCUUGAAUCAAGUGGUUAAUGAAGAAACUCCAGCUAUUUUGUCUUUUGAUCAACCACUGCUCAGGCUAUUGGAUACAUUUGAUUAUUUCCAUUUCUCCCAACUGCAACUAACAAUUCACCCUUGCAAGAACCUUUCAAAAAACAACCAUCUAACCCAAUAAUUUUUCUGCACCCUGCCAGCCAGCCUCUCUUUAAUGCAUCAAAGCACAAAUAAAAAUAAAUAAAUAGAUUUUUUCCAAGUUGAGACUCUCUAUCUAUCCUCACCCAACAAGAACUGUCAGGAUUAAUAUGUUUUAUCAUGUCUGCAUAGUCACACAACCUUGAAAAUUCCAUCUUCCAAUCACCCAAGAAUUCUUUAAUGAUUCUAUGCUUUGCCUUGCUACAAAUAGUUUUUUCCACAUACAAACCCAAUUUUUUUCUCACCAAUUCCUGAAUUUCCCACAGUUUUAUAUAAGGUUGUAAAGUUAUUUCAUCUUUGAACUUACUUACAAUAAAUUUAGAUGUGCACAAUUUAUUUUUAUAGUAGUAGUGCAUACAUGUACAGGAUAGUAGUGCUUGACAACAGAGUCACCAGAAUGCUUAUCAAUACUAGCAAACAACAACCAUUUACAUUUCUUGCCCUUACACCUAACUCUAACUCUAUGUUUCUCAUUAGGCUUAAGCUUCAAUCUAACUUUGUAUUCAACAGCAUACUCAACCACAACCUUUCUAAAUUGCUUAGCAUUUUCAAAUAUCAUACCAAGCUCAAAUAUAGCCACAACACAAUCAGAAUCAAAUCUUACUUUUUUUACUUUUCCUUUUUGCUGAUAAAUCAACACCCCUGACAGUUUCAGGUUCCAGUCCAUCAGCACUAUCAUCACUAUCAACUUCAAAGCUAUCUAUAUACUUAUCAUCUCCCCCUAAUCUUCUACUGUAUCUAGCAGUCUUAUUCCUUCCAAUAUCUUCAAAUCCCCUAUCAACACCUGCUGAUCCAAGUUUUAUUUUUUCAUUUUGGACAGAUUUCUUUUGUUUCACACAGUUUCUCCUUUCAUUUCUAAGAGUUCUUAACUCUUCAUCAUCCUCAGAAUCGUCAUCUUCUGGUAUAUUAAACUCUUGAGAAUCAACACUACUAUCAAGAUCUAUUUCAGCCCCUUCUAGAUCUGAGAGUUCAUCUGCACCAGAUUCUAUAUCUAUGUUGUCAGUUUGGGUAGGUUCCUCAUGUAACCCUUCAACAUUAAUAUCAUGAACUGUUGAUAUGUUCUUACCCACAUUACUAUUUUCACCAACCACAUUACUACUUUGAUCACCUACUGUACCACAAAGAAAACCAGAUGGGACCUCAUCUUCUACCACUUCUACCUCAUCCACAACAUGGUUCAUAUACAAGUCUAAAAAGUCCCCAUCUUCUAGGUCUUCAACAAGACUUACCAAAGUCAAGUCAUUUUCUACUUCAAUAAAGACUUUCUUUUUAGGGUCUUUAAAGUAGAACCCACCAACAGUCAUAUACCCAAAUUCUUUAGUAUAAUAAAACAACUUGAAUAUAGAAAAGUGGUCUUUGUUCGUACUUACAUAUUCCACCUCACUUUCUCCUAUGUAGUGUGGACCAUAUUCUUCAUCAGAAACAAACUUGCCACCAUGGUGAAAAUGAGUUGUAAUAAUAAUAUUAGCCAUUAGAUUCCUGAAACAAAAUUCCAAAAAUACCUGACAAGUUAUGAAUAGUAAAAACCCUAAAAAAAUCCUAGCUUUUUUCGGAUAUUCCCAAACUACAAUUACUAACGUAAUAUACUAACAAAGAACUAAUAAAUCAUUUACAACAACAAGACAUGACAAAAAUGUGACAAUAUUGACAUUUGCAACAUACCUGAGUGCGAUUCAAACACAAAACAAUAACAAUUUUUUAGAUCCAACUCCAGAUUCUUUGCAACCAAUAAAGAAAUGUUGAAAUCAGUGUCAAACUUGAACUAAUCACUCAAAAACACUAUGUAACUUUUUAUUAUACAACAAACGAAGCAUAAAUUAGUAGUAUUAGGAGUGAAAUCGCAAUUUUAGGGUUUCUGAUAGAUUUAGGGAUGUGUAUGAGGGAUUUGACGUUAUAAGGAGGGAAACGAAGUAGAAAUUAUCUUUAUGUAUUAAUUAAAAAAAAGGUGGGGUGUAAAAUAUAAUUGGUUAUAAUUGGUCAAAAUCUACACGUAGACGAUGACUACAUACACGCACUUAACACGUUAAAAAAGAAGGCUUUAAAAAGGUGUCAUGUCGGACAAUUGAGCUCAGUUGAAACCAUUUAUGAAGGGGUAAAGGGUUCAAUAGGUAUCCGUCUUAGUUGAGGUGUCUAUACGGAAAAAGUGAAAUAGUUAAGGAAUCUCUCUAUAUAUAUAGCCUUAAUAUUUUGACAAAUUAACCUUUUGGGUCCCACCUUUCGGAGAAUUCUUUCUUAUUUUUUCCUCUUCAUUUUCUUUUCUGUCUCAUUGUCAUUUAACUUUUUUUUCUUCAACAAAUAAUGUUUUGUGCUUUUGCUCUUUCUUUUUGGGUUAUUUUUUACUUAUGGUUUUCUUUAUUUUUCUUCAUUUACCCUAUUUCUUUCCAAUUUUUUUUAGUACUCUUGAUACAAGUAAAUUGAAGGUUUUUCUUUUUCCUUUAAUUUUUUAUUUGUCAAUAUUUAUAUGCAAAUUAAAUGAUACUUACUUUUUUAUUUAUUUUUUUAGUUUAUUUUAAAAAUAUUAUUUCUUUGAUUUUUAGAUAGUAAGGUAAUAUUGUUUCCAUUAGUUAGUGUCUAGUUAGAUUUUGUAAUUAUUUUAAUCCGAAAUAUAAUUUUUGAUAUAUAUUUAAUGAUGUGACAGUUCCUAAAUUUCCAAGAAAAGUUAUUUUAAAAAUUAAAAUCAAUAGUUAGAUUUAUUUAGGACCAACUCAUUCUAAAUUCAAUUCAAUUCUUGAAAGACCGCCUGGAAAUAAUUUUUCUAUAUAGAAAAUUAUCUUAAUGAUUAAAAAAAAAGAUGAUUGCUCUUCCAUUUUUAACAUGCUAAGUAUUAUACAUGUCCUAAUAACAUUGAACCAUGAUAAAUAAUAUUAUAUAAAUUCAAUUAUAAAAAACAGAUUUAUCACUUAUCAAAUUUAAUUUUAAAUUUUCGAUAUUCAAAUUUUUCAACACCAACAAAAAGAGAGUAUAAUAAAAAAUAGAAAUUAUUGUCAUGAUUGAAUGGCCAAAAUUUUAUUUUCUUUUUUUUAACAAAUAUGAACAAAUAAUAGUUGGGAUGAAAAAAAAGAUUCAUUCUACUUAGUACCGAAACAGGAGGAAGAAAAAUCAAUUUGUGAAAAAAGACAAAGAAAGAAUAAAAAACAGUAAACAAAAAAGUAACCAAAAAAAAAGAGCAAAUAAUGUUUUGCCCCAAAAAAGUUAAUGAUCGAAAAAGUAAAAUAAAUAAAUGAAUAUAGAAAAUGAUCUGAUAGUGGGACCCCAAAGUCCAUUUGUCAAAAAAUUAAAGACCUCAUAUUAAAAUUUUACAUAUACAAACUAAAAGCAUCUCGUCUCAUCUCCCACUUCUAGAAGGUUGUACUACUAAUUAGGCCUCCAGGAAACAGAGAAGUGUGGUACAAAAAUUAAUUCGUCUGUCUGCUCUCUUUCUAUCCCUAUAAAAUUCAAUUCUCUCAAUAAUUUCGCAUGUGAUUUGCCCCACUGUGUCUGUACAUAGUAUGUCCUCCUACUUUGCAUCCUUGGAUGAAUACUGGACCUUUAAAUUGAAUCCAGUUCCUUGCUUUCCAGAUGUAAUACACCAUAGUCCCCCAUAAUGCAGCUGCCGCUUCCUUCUUAAACUUCUUCCAAUGCUCUCUUCUAAUCAGCUCAAAUGUAGUCUUCACAUCUCCUGCGGACAGUGAAAUAUUGGAUUAUUAUAUGAGUUCAGCUCUUACCAGUGCAGCAUAUAUAGCCACAGUCAACAAAUAUGUGGCUACUACGCUCUCCAUUGUAGAUGAUUGAAAUAGGCGGCAGUUGACAUUUUCUAUGUACAUGUUCAUAUGUAGUAAUCUUUCCUUCGUAAGCAAUCUGUUCAGCAAGGUAACCACUAGUAAUUGAAUACUUUAGCAGUAAGGAUGAAUUGCCCCCAUGCAUCAGUGUUUCAUUCUAUCCCUUAUAAAAUUUAUUUUCCUCCAACACCAGCUACUUGUUAUUUUCGUUUGUACUUUGGGUACACAGAAUCAGUAUAUGCAGAACAAUAACUUCAACUAGAGUUCAAGUAUAAACAAGAACACAAUGAAGUAUAUCAAAUACUCUCUAACACAAGAUCGAAAUGACCUUUUCAAGAGGUGUAUUUUAUUUUUUCAGAAAUUAAGAUGAAACAGAAAAUAGCCAAGUCAUCCGAAUUCACGAAGUUUCUUUAAGGAAAUAAUUUCCCUCACUGUACCCGAGGUUAUAGAAUUUUUCCUCCUAGAAUAAAAUGGCUAAAUAGAUCAAUUGUAGCGGUACCUCAAACGGUUGGAAUAUCUUCGAACGCACAGGACGUUUUGAUUGAUCACAUAGAGUAAUUUGGAAGACAAGAAGUAAUUUUGUAUUCUGAAAUUUUCAUAUCAAAACCUGUGGAUGAAAGCAGGUUUAUAUAGCCAUAACAUGUCUCUUCUGAAAAUAGGCAAUGGUUCACUCCAAAGGUUACACCUUUGCUGUAAGUUCAUGUCUGUUCAUCAAAGAUUGCAUCUUUUCCUGAAUAGUCAUCUCAUUUCAUGAAUCAGUGUGUCACUUCAUUGAAGGAUUACAUCCUUCUGAAGCAUCAUUUCGAACCAUUGCAACUCAGUUUAAAACAAUAUAUCAUUUCUGAAGCACCAGUUCAAAAACAAUGCAUCAGUUCACUUGAAACAGUGCAACUGUUACUGCAUCUAUAUAUAAAUGGAGAUCCUAAACACUGCAGAAAAAUUUUACUGCGUUUUUCCUUGGCAUUCUUCGGAAUUCAAAUAAAGUUUGUCCAAAAAAAUAGAUCUCAUCGAUCAAUCAUUAUCCAAAUCCAAAGCCAAGCGAGCAACGAUGAAAAUGGCGCAAGACAUCUAUUAUUUCUUGCCUCACUUGCCAUGUGGAAUAAAUGUUCUUGAUUAUAAAUACUUUCAAGUACUCUUCUUCCACCAAUGUGGGAGAAAGAGUAAAUUAUCUAAUUUGGAAGUACACUUUUCAUUUUAGUGUCUCCUUCCCCUCCAUCAUUUUACUCUCCAUUUUUUCAUUCACACUUCUUUCAUAUACUAUGAACCCAACACUACUAUCUGCUGGCUUCUGUGUCCAGAUAGUGUCAGUUUUGAUACAUAUUUCGGGUGCCUACUUCAGCCCCAAAGACUCCUUCUUUACAACUACUUUCCACAAAACCUUGCCUACCGAUGCCAAGUUCCAAUUCUCACACAAUAUUCAAACCACCCUGCUUUUUGGAGACACUUUAUCCCAAGCUACUAGUGCUACCUUCCUUUUCCCUCUAUAAUACCCCACAAGUAAUCUCUAAAUGUCUUAUCUACCUCCUUCACUAUACUAGGGGGAAGGAGAAAAACUGCAUUUUAUUCAUCCAUCUGUCAAGACCGGUUUUACCCCAUACUACCAAAGCGGCCAGCAAAAUUUUGACCAUACUGCUUUGAGCAAAUCUUCCUGAGCAAAAUAAAUGGUCUGAAAUUUCCACUUUCUUAGAGUGGGGCAAGCAAUACAAGAAUCUUGAUUGGAAGAUUAUAUCAAAAUUUUGAGACCUUUUCAUCAGUUGGUACCCUGUCGUAUGAAGCUCCCCACCUUACAAAUGUCAUCUUGAAAAAUAUUAUUGUUUAUGCCACAUUUUUUGGGCACUUACUUGAUUGUUCUUUCUUCUAAAUUAGGAGCUCCCAUGCUGAGGCUAGUGAGAACCUGCCAUUGAUGUUAGCCAACCCUAGUACUCUAUCUGGAGCUGCAUGGAAUAAGGUAAUGUGGUGUUGUGCUACCAUGCCAUAUUGCCAAGUGACAUUGUCAAGUGCCUCCUUAAGAAGGGAUAUUUCCGGCUUUUGCUCCAUCAGGUAAAUGACUAUAGAGCAUUCCCGUUUUUGUUCAGUUGUCAUACCAGAAUGAUGUUUUUACCUUUCCAGGCAGGCAUGCUAUAUUUUCCUUAACUUCAUGCUUUAAGUCACAGAGGGCUCUCCAGCCGUGUGACUGUUGCCCUGAUAAUUUUCAUGGAUCGUACAUGUGAAAUAUUUGGUUUGGGUGGAAAUGAAUUGACUCUCAUCUAAGAGAAAACACACUGCUAGUUAAUUAUAUUAUGUCGCAGCAUUAAUGGAGACACUCUUUAGAUGCCCGGUCCCCUUGCCAGCCACUAGAACUUGGGAGGGCAAUUUCUGUUGAUCCUUGACAAGCCAAAACAAUUUCCAAAUUAAUCAUUUAAAAAAAAAAAACAUUACAGAGCCAAGAAGCCAUCAUCUAACACAAGAUCUAGCAACACUUAGUAUAGAAAAUUCACAAUCUUUCAUUGAUAUAAACAAUUGAAAGAGCAAUUACACGAGAACAUCAAAUUAGACAUUAGAGUCAAUGAGUUCUCCAUUCACUAACUCUCUGUAAGCAGCAACAGGCCAGAUGAAGCCUCUCCAGACGAGCCUGUUAGCCAAUGGAACAUCAAUGAUGAUCUCCUUCAUUGUUGGCUUCUUCUCAUCUCUUAUUGCAAUCAAGUAGCUCCUUCCUACCCACCCAAUCCAUCCAGCAAUGUACAAGAAGAGGAUCCCAGGAGUGAUGAACUCACCCCAGUGCCUCUGGUCUCCACUCACUAUCAGGUGUGGCAGUCCAUCCGAUCCGCACAACAGUCCUUGUUUCGCAUAGUUGUCAAAUCUGCAAUGUCAAUAGGUGAGUGACUUUGUAAGUGAAAUAAAACAUGGACUCGAGUAUCAAGGAGUUGGAAUCAAAUGGAAUGUUCUAUUUUUCUAUGUUUACUUAGUCUAUGUCAAUGACUUAUGCAAGGAAAAGUUGAAAAUCUGUUACAAAAUAACUUGCCAUUCUUUCAUAAGCAAAUUUACUUCGUGCGCUCCUAUAGGGAGAAGGUGUUGAAGGUGGCCUCGUUUUCACACUUUUGGUUGGAUAAACGGAAGCCAUCAUCUAACACAAGAUCUAGCAACACUUAGUAUAGAAAAUUCACAAUCUUUCAUUGAUAUAAACAAUUGAAAGAGCAAUUACACGAGAACAUCAAAUUAGACAUUAGAGUCAAUGAGUUCUCCAUUCACUAACUCUCUGUAAGCAGCAACAGGCCAGAUGAAGCCUCUCCAGACGAGCCUGUUAGCCAAUGGAACAUCAAUGAUGAUCUCCUUCAUUGUUGGCUUCUUCUCAUCUCUUAUUGCAAUCAAGUAGCUCCUUCCUACCCACCCAAUCCAUCCAGCAAUGUACAAGAAGAGGAUCCCAGGAGUGAUGAACUCACCCCAGUGCCUCUGGUCUCCACUCACUAUCAGGUGUGGCAGUCCAUCCGAUCCGCACAACAGUCCUUGUUUCGCAUAGUUGUCAAAUCUGCAAUGUCAAUAGGUGAGUGACUUUGUAAGUGAAAUAAAACAUGGACUCGAGUAUCAAGGAGUUGGAAUCAAAUGGAAUGUUCUAUUUUUCUAUGUUUACUUAGUCUAUGUCAAUGACUUAUGCAAGGAAAAGUUGAAAAUCUGUUACAAAAUAACUUGCCAUUCUUUCAUAAGCAAAUUUACUUCGUGCGCUCCUAUAGGGAGAAGGUGUUGAAGGUGGCCUCGUUUUCACACUUUUGGUUGGAUAAACGGAGGACUAAACGAGUUUUUAUGAGCAUUAUCGGGUUCUAGAAUAUAUAUCAAAAAGGAAUUCUACAUUUUUAUAUUUCGGAGCUUUUUAAUUUUAAGCUUCUUAUCUUACUCGUAUGCUAUCAUAACUAUAAAAAUGUAAUGUCUGAGAUCACAAUUCUAAGAAUACUGAUAAGUGAGACUUGAGCACCUCCACCAAACCGGUAAGUGGGAUCACUGUUAUUCUCACCAAAAGAAGAAUCUAAGAAUACUAGUCUUUAAAGAAGAAAAAUUUGUACACAAUCAAAUACAUCCACAUAAAGUGUAAGAAUAUGAUUAAAUAGAAAAUGAUUACUAAGGACAAAGCAAGGAAAAUUUAGCAUAUAAGAAAGAAGGGAACUUUCAAGAUUCUUGCAAAAUUUAAAAGAAAAGGUAACAAAGACAAACCUGCGCUUAGUUUUCUCAAUAGUGGCAUUAAUAGCAAGUGCAGGAGCACUAUCAGGUGCAUACAGUUUCAAAGAAUUCUCAAGCUUCUUGAUCUGUUGCUUCUCCCUCUUAGCAAACUGCUUUGACUCCUUGCAAGGUGUGAGCCCAGAGAUGUCAGCAGAAGCUGGAAGCACUGGUGCUGACAAAAGAAUUGAAGACAAAGCAAGUGCUGCUGAGAAUGCUUUUAAUGAGGAAGAACUCUCAUCUGUCUUAGUAGAAGCAGGGGUCUGGUUUGAAGAGCAUACUAUGGUUGAAGUU